ensembl:lncRNA
GCCACUUCCUGUUUAUGAUUUAUGACGGGUCAUAAAAUCCAUUGUGUAGGGAUGACAGGUGUAAUGCCAGUGGUGAACCUGCAGGGGUCGCUGGGGUGCGGGAUCUGUAUAGACAGAGGUGUGAUUAGUGUAUGUGGGUGUGUGGGCGUGUAUGUAUAUAUGUGUGUGUGUGUGUGUGUGUGUGUGUGUGUCUGUGUGUGUGUGUGUGUGUGUGUGUGUGUGUGUGUGUGUGUGUGUGUGUGUGUGUGUGUGUGUGUGUGUGUGUGUGUGUGUGUGUGUGAGAGAGUGUGUCAACAGAUGUUUCAUGGGCUAUGAUUCUAUUAACAAUAUGUGGACAGCAGUAGUAUUAUAUGAUACAAUUCUUAUAACAGAUGUGUUUGUACGUAGUGUAGGAUAAAAGUGUAAUUCAAUGCCUUUGAACAAUGAGGGGUUGUAUAAUUCGGUGCCUUAAUGUCUGUGGAGAAGCAACGCCUCUAUUGUUACACAUAUGUCUGACGACCAUGGCACCCCCCGGAUCCAUGUUGAUUAUGGGGGAGCUGUCUAUGGAAGACACAGGCUGUUUGAUGGCUCCCUGGUACUAUACAGAGUGAUUUGUGAUUGUGUGUGUGUGUGUGUGUGUGUGUGUGUGUGUGUGUGUGUGUGUGUGUGUGUGUGUGUGUGUGUGUGUGUGUGUGUGUGUGUGUGUGUGUGUGUGAGAGACGUAAUAAUGUGCUUUUUAUAUUCUAUCCCACUAUAUUACGAAAACCGACUUUGGUUCACAUUGACAAUAUAUUAGGUGAUAUCAUGAUACUAUUAAGAUAGUUUAGUAAUUUUUCAUCCGUAUUUGGAUCAACUUUAUUUUACCAUUAGUAUAAGGUCUGUCUAUGAUGCGUUGAGUGGGCGUAGGCCUGUAGGACCUACGUGUGCGUGGGUCCAGUACCUAUUGGACAGGCGUCUAUGACGUCGGGGCCUUAGGUGCGAAUGAUGCAGAUAGGGCGUCUUUCAGGCAUAAAUAUACGGGGUCCCGUGAUACGGGAGCGUACGACCUCCGACCCAGACGUUAGCCACACUAUUCUAAGUUAGUAAACGCGUCGCAGCAGCUGGAAGAAAAAAAAAAAAACAUCGAUCCGUCCUGCACAACUAUGCCGACUGACUGUAAGUAUUCGUAUGUGUGUAUCAUGAUUAUAUUAUGACUAUGGCUAUGUGAAUCAGCUGUUUAUAUCUGACCGAAGCAGCGAUUACUUCACAGCGAAUUGCGGUGCCGGAGGCGAGAGCGUGAAACAGCAGCAGGGUCCACGUGGAAAUUUGCAGGAUAUUCGGCUCAACAGACCGAUUCUAGCAGACCAGACUAAUGUGCUGACAAGCGGUAGUUUUGUACCUAUCGAGGCCAAUGUCAUUCAGCGCCCCUCGGAACAAAUCGACUGGCCAAGAAGAAGAAUUUGAAAAGAUCG